GAACCAGCGGAGGGAUCAUUACUGAGUUUACGCUCUACAACCCUUUGUGAACAUACCUAUAACUGUUGCUUCGGCGGGUAGGGUCUCCGCGACCCUCCCGGCCUCCCGCCUCCGGGCGGGUCGGCGCCCGCCGGAGGAUAACCAAACUCUGAUUUAACGACGUUUCUUCUGAGUGGUACAAGCAAAUAAUCAAAACUUUUAACAACGGAUCUCUUGGUUCUGGCAUCGAUGAAGAACGCAGCGAAAUGCGAUAAGUAAUGUGAAUUGCAGAAUUCAGUGAAUCAUCGAAUCUUUGAACGCACAUUGCGCCCGCCAGCAUUCUGGCGGGCAUGCCUGUUCGAGCGUCAUUUCAACCCUCAAGCUCUGCUUGGUGUUGGGGCCCUACAGCCGAUGUAGGCCCUCAAAGGUAGUGGCGGACCCUCCCGGAGCCUCCUUUGCGUAGUAACUUUACGUCUCGCACUGGGAUCCGGAGGGACUCUUGCCGUAAAACCCCCCAAUUUUCCAAAGGUUGACCUCGGAU
rnacentral:rRNA from 1 species